CGGUUGAUCCUGCCGGAGGUCACUGCUAUUGGGAUUCGACUAAGCCAUGCGAGUCGAGAGGGUUCGGCCCUCGGCUGACGGCUCAGUAACACGUGGAUAAUCUGCCCUUAGGUGGAGGAUACCCUCGGGAAACUGAGAAUAAUACUCCAUAGGCCUAGGAUGCUGGAAUGCACCUAGGCUGAAAGUUCCGGCGCCUAAGGAUGAGUCUGCGGACUAUCAGGUUGUAGUCAGGGUAAAGACCUGACUAGCCUACGACGGAUACGGGUUGUGAGAGCAAUAACCCGGAGAUGAUAUCUGAGACACGAUAUCAGGCCCUACGGGGCGCAGCAGGCGCGAAAACUUCACACUGUGCGAAAGCACGAUGAGGGAAUCCCAAGUGCUUGCACGUAAGUGUAAGCUGUUUUUCUGUCUAAAACACAGAGAGAGUAAGAGCUGGGUAAGACGGGUGCCAGCCGCCGCGGUAAUACCUGCAGCUCAAGUGGUGGCCGCUAUUAUUGGGCCUAAAACGUUCGUAGCCGGUUUAGUAAAUGCCUGGGUAAAUCGUGUAGCUUAACUAUACGAAUUCCGGGUAGACUGCUGAACUUGAGACCGGGAGAGGCUAGAGGUACUCCUGGGGUAGAGGUGAAAUUCUGUAAUCCUAGGGGGACCACCAGUGGCGAAGGCGUCUAGCUAGAACGGAUCUGACGGUGAGGGACGAAGCCCUGGGGCGCGAACCGGAUUAGAUACCCGGGUAGUCCAGGGUGUAAACGCUGCUUGCUUGAUGUUAGUUGGGCUCCGANCCCAAUUAGUGUCGGAGAGAAGUUGUCAAGCAAGCUGCCUGGGAAGUACGGNCGCANACUGAAACUUAAAGGAAUUGGCGGGGGANCAC
rnacentral:rRNA from 1 species